GACCCGGUGGUGAAAUGAAUCAUACCUGCCAUUCAUGCCCCGACAUUUCCUUGCAAGGAUCCCGGUUCGAGUCCGGGCUGGGUCA